rnacentral:lncRNA from 1 species
CUGAAUUACGUUGUAAAGUUCUUGUACGACGACGUGAAUUACAACAGACACAGCUUCCUGGUUUUACAAAGUGCGGAGUUAACAAAUAUACGGAGAGGUGUACACAAACUCCUUGCAAGUAAACCGACACAUCAAAUACCUUUCAGAUAGAAAUCUGAUUUCGAUAUCCGAUUGUUGACCAUCUGUUGAGAUGGUAGGAUUGCAAAUCAUUAGUCACUACACUUCGAACAUAUGUGUUAUUGGAUGAUAUUACAGUCGCCCUUCGCAAUGUGUGCCUCUAACCGAAAACCGAAGGCAAAUUCAUAGACCAGCCCAAUCCUGCCAAACCAGGAUAAACCUAAUACAAGUGGUCACUUCUUACGCGAAGAUUCAUGUUAACGUAACGCACAUGCGUGAGUACCUUUUCCAGCUUUCCUUUCGCCUCUUGUGCUAUGGGCACAGGCUUUUAAGCCUGUACACUACAAACUCCUGAUAAUCAGUGAAGUAAGUCAUUCACUCAUGCAACAGAUAAAAUUUAUAUACCACAGUUUGCAUAGAAUACCAUAUCUUUUUGAGUUCAAAGAUGCACUAACGUGAUGACAUUUCUUAUGACAAAAUAUAUACAAGAACCACAUUCCUAUAAAGUGUGAUGGGCUUUACAUAUGGUAGUUUCUUGAGUGUCUAUGCAGGAUGUCACGCUCAAAUUUAGGACCUCGCGCCCAGGUAACAUGUCACAGUUAGCAAGUUACCGAUUCACAAAAAUCCCAAAGCCAUCUUAAGCAGUCUGCCAACAGAAGUCCACUGACUACUUCGAAAUCUUGGCAUCGCACAAACAGACGUUAAAAUCUCUGCAUACAAACAACAUUGCCUUCCUCCGAAGUACGCUCACUCAUUUGCAAGGGAUUCAACCAAAUAACAAAAAGCGUUGCUGGAGAAACACAGAAUGCGCAACUCACCAAGUCAGUUGCGUUGGUGACCACGCCAUUUGCAGGGAGGGUUGUGACAGCGCCCGCAUUGCUCUUGGUAGUAUUAAGAGUAGACUAUUGCAAGAGCAACUUCACAACACCCUGACACCUCCAACCUGAUGAGACUCGAAGAAAAUAUGCGCAACAAACUCUAUUCUCAAACGCAGAGAGCAUUGAAAUCGAUACUCCCUAACAAGAUACUGUAAAGCCAGUUUACCCAAAGGAAAGUCAUAAACGCACAACAGUUCAGAUUUCACAAAUCUAAGAGGAAACCAGACCAGCAGAAGAACCAUAUGCAACCCCGCGAAUUAAGACCUUGUGAUUCAUCUAAGGGCUGUCGACGUUCCACUAGCGUGAACAUGUCGCAUCAAACAAUCUCUAUAACAAGAGUAUUAAAAAUGAACCCGAGCUCUUGAAACUUUCACCAAUCAAUGAGAUACGACUGGAACCUCAUCAAGACGUGGCUCGUUUAAUCUGAUAAAUUGACAAACUCAUAGAACAAAGAGAAUCAGCGCAUUGCCCCUUGUACACUUCUCCACCGUCCUUAUCUCAAGUUUCUUUCCACAGGGCAACACGAGAAAACUUCGCCACUGAUCAUUAACAAACUCUGAAAACAAACCGGAUCAUCUGCAAUUCAAACCGUCCUAAUCGACAAAUUCUAGCCAGAUACUUCAGCUGAUCUAAUUCAUGUUCAAGCAAAUGCAAACAGCAAUCAGGAUUCAUUCACCUCCAGUCAUCUCUCAAGGUUACGACCCAUCACAACGCAUCCCGAUGAUCCACUGUACUGGAGACUGGCUUCGAAACCGCU